ensembl:misc_RNA
CUCUUGCGAUGGCCAUGCCUGUCAGUUACAUGGAGCUUCAUUCAAGGAUUUUCCGAGCCUGCUGGAUUUACAGUGAUAUUUGGCCGUCUGGGGGA